rnacentral:misc_RNA from 1 species
CUUUCAUACAUUUAUUCAAGUUCCGAUCCUAGAUCGUUUAUAAAUGCGUCAUCGAUGCGUGUCACCACGCGCCACGACAUUCCCCUCGCCCACCCUCGCCCCCCACCCCACAUGACGAUCGCCUCUCCCAUUCAUUCGUCAUCGUGUUUUAUCUGCAAUGAAUUUUGUUAAUGAUCCUUCCGCAGGUUCACCUACGGAAA